UAUCAAUGUGCGUGUGCGUGCCUUUGUGUCUGCGCUUUGAGAGUGCGUAUAUUUGUGUGCGCGCGAGUGCGUUUUGUGUGCGUGCGUAUGUAUUGCAUAAGGCCGGUAGAGUUUUACUCGCAAUAAAACUCUUCCAAUUUGGUGCAGCGAGUGUUGCCGCCUGAAAGCCGAGUUUGGUUUCAAGCCAACCUGGACAACUGCUGUAUGAGGCGCUGUUUCUCAGGAGGAUCAGUGGGAAGGCGUCAGGUCAUGCAGAUGAUAGCAUCAAUUUCACAAUGCCCAGCCUUGGUGCCUUCCAUUAAGAGCAAGCCACUUGCGUUCGCCUUCAGGCAGAUGGUUGAUGUCUUCUAGGAAGCAGUUGGGAAGACUACAUUGAUGCAAGAUUCCAGCAAUGCCAUGCGCUGCAUUUAUUGGUCAAGAUGCUCAGAGAAUGGAGUCCCUGCACCUCGUGGUGAAACGUGAACAUUUUCUUUCUUUUGGAAAGCUAAACGUCAUUUGCUGUAUCAAUUGCAUUCUUGCAGCUCAGAUGUGUACUAUAUUUUUUCUAAUUUUGAAUCAAUUAAUAUUCACUGUUCAGUAUAAAAAUGACGUACAGUGUGAAGGACACGGACUGCGAGAGAUGACAUACACUGCG